UUUCAACAGAAGGCAGAGUGUGGCCUAUGUGUCUCCAUUUAAAACGGCAAGGCAGUUCUGCAGCAGCUGGAGGUUGCCCUGGAAGGGAGGAACAAACCGACCAUCAAUUUCUUUAGUCCCAGCAGCUUGAGAGUCGUGGGUUUCCCUCUGUCACCUUGGCUGUCCUGGAACUCAAUCUGCAGAGCAAGCUGGCCUUGAACUCAGAGAUGCACCUGCCUCCUCAGGGCUGGGAUUAGAGGAAGGUGUGUGACAUCAUGCUGGCCCUGAGAAAGUAACUCACUGAAAUUCUGAAAGCGGGGGACAGAUGCUUGAAAACUAAAGAGAAGAGUAAGGGAAGUGCACAAAAGGAGAAGGGCCGGAGAAGAGAAACGAG